rfam:Asian citrus Psyllid, Diaphorina citri - Florida Strain, whole genome shotgun sequence.
UUGUAUGGCCAGCGGCGAUAGCACCAGUUCCCCAUUUAUCACUAAAGUUAAGCAACGUUCCGCGUGGUUGGUAUCCGGCUGGGUGACCAUCUGGGUAAUCGGGUGCUGUUGGCU